AACGAACGCUGGCGGCAUGCCUAACACAUGCAAGUCGAACGAGCCCUUCGGGUCUAGCGGCCCCCGGGUGCGUACCGCGUGGUAACCUGCGCUUAGGUUCGGAAUCACUACCCGAAAGACAUGCUAUUAACAGAUCUUCUCAUAGGACCAAAGCUUUAUCGCCUUUGGAUGGGCCCGCGUCGGAUUAGCUAGUUGGUAGGGUAAACGCCUACCAAGGCGACGAUCCUUAGCUGGUCUGAGAGGAUGAACGGCCACACUGGGACUGAGACACGGCCCAGACUCCUACGGGAGGCAGCAGUGGGGAAUAUUGGACAAUGGGCGAAAGCCUGAUCCAGCGAUGCCGCGUGAGGGAUGAAGGCCUUAGGGUUGUAAAGCUCUGUUGCCCGGGAAGAUAAUGACAGUACCGGGAAAAUAAGCGCCGGCUAACUACGUG
rnacentral:rRNA from 1 species